rnacentral:rRNA from 1 species
AUACAGAGGGUGCAAGCGUUAAUCGGAAUUACUGGGCGUAAAGCGCGCGUAGGCGGCUACUUAAGUCAGAUGUGAAAUCCCCGGGCUCAACCUGGGAACUGCAUUUGAAACUGGUGAGCUAGAGUAUGGUAGAGGUAAGUGGAAUCCCAGGUGUAGCGGUGAAAUGCGUAGAUAUCUGGAGGAACAUCAGUGGCGAAGGCGACUUACUGGACCAAUACUGACACUGAGGUGCGAAAGCGUGGGGAGCAAACAGGAUUAGAAACCCGAGUAGUCC